CAUCACAACAAAGUGUUAAAAAUUUCACAUAUUAUGUACCUGAAUAUUUCGCAACCAUUUUCAUUUCAAGUUGAAAAAUUACAAAAUUUGGUGACAAAGUCGAAAAUAAAGCGAUAAUUUGACAGCUAGUGUGGUCGUAAUUUCUUAAUAUAAGUAUAAGGGUAGCCAAAUAUCGCUGUAUGCACACUAAACGAGUCGAGAACACUGUGCGACGAAAACAAAUACCUACUGUAGCAGCGCGGAGUCGCAGAGCAACACAAAGAUGAAACCAAUUCACAUAUUAGUAAUGCUUUUAGCAGCGGAGAUAUUUGCGCUGAGUUCCGCCGAGGGUGAGAAAAAGGAAUCCGAUGACUGCAAACCCGGGGAAUCCGAGAAAUCCGAGGAGGGAUCCGAGGAAUCCGCGGAGGGAUACGACAAACCCGACGGACCCGACGUAAAACCGCUAAAUUUGGUGGGCAAACUUACGGAGUAAAAAAAGCAUAUUCGUUUCCACUUCAUUAAGCACUAGAAACAUUUCACCUUCAUUGCUAUAUUUCAACACGACAACUUAUUAAUAUGUACCCCAACACUUCAGAACUGCUCUGCAUUGGAUCAUAUUCAAGUAUACACAUUUUCAAUUUUAGACCUAAGGUAAUAUUUUAACUAUUUUUAACUGUUGUUGGGCGGUGAUGGAUUCGAAAAUUAAUUUUCAUUACUCAAGUCUUGAGUAUAUAGUAUCUAUAGGUAUUCAUAUGUAACCAUAAUUUCUGUGCAUUACUUCAAUAAAGGACUACUGCAAUACAAAA